rnacentral:rRNA from 1 species
GAUGAACGCUGGCGGCGUGCCUAAUACAUGCAAGUCGAGCGAACGGACGAGAAGCUUGCUUUUCUGAUGUUAGCGGCGGACGGGUGAGUAACACGUGGAUAACCUACCUAUAAGACUGGGAUAACUUCGGGAAACCGGAGCUAAUACCGGAUAAUAUUUUGAACCGCAUGGUUCAAAAGUGAAAGACGGUCUUGCUGUCACUUAUAGAUGGAUCCGCGCUGCAUUAGCUAGUUGGUAAGGUAACGGCUUACCAAGGCACGAUGCAUAGCCGACCUGAGAGGGUGAUCGGCCACACUGGAACUGAGACACGGUCCAGACUCCUACGGGAGGCAGCAGUAGGGAAUCUUCCGCAAUGGGCGAAAGCCUGACGGAGCAACGCCGCGUGAGUGAUGAAGGUCUUCGGAUCGUAAAACUCUGUUAUUAGGGAAGAACGUAUGUGUAAGUAACUGUGCACAUCUUGACGGUACCUAAUCAGAAAGCCACGGCUAACUACGUG